rnacentral:lncRNA from 1 species
GUGCUCUCCACAAACCCUAACCCUAGAAAAUGAAGAUCGGAUGAGAAUCGCAGUUUUGGUGCUUCAAGGUCUAAAGUUGAAUCAGAUUCUAUCAUCAAUCUACUGAUCCGGGUUGGUUGGAGAUGAAUAUGGUUACGAUGUUGUUCAGCUUCAGUUGUAGAUGGUUAUUGGAAAGUUUAAAGAGGAGCUAGUUUGAAUGUUUUGGGAAGAAGACAUAUCUCGAAAUAAGAGCAUUCAUAUUAGCUUCU